GACGAACGCUGGCGGCGUGCUUAACACAUGCAAGUCGAACGGAAAGGCCCUGCUUUUGUGGGGUGCCCGAGUGGCGAACGGGUGAGUAACACGUGAGUAACCUGCCCUUGACUUUGGGAUAACUUCAGGAAACUGGGGCUAAUACCGGAUAGGAGCUCCUGCUGCAUGGUGGGGGUUGGAAAGUUUCGGCGGUUGGGGAUGGACUCGCGGCUUAUCAGCUUGUUGGUGGGGUAGUGGCUUACCAAGGCUUUGACGGGUAGCCGGCCUGAGAGGGUGACCGGCCACAUUGGGACUGAGAUACGGCCCAGACUCCUACGGGAGGCAGCAGUGGGGAAUAUUGCACAAUGGGCGGAAGCCUGAUGCAGCAACGCCGCGUGCGGGAUGACGGCCUUCGGGUUGUAAACCGCUUUCGCCUGUGACGAAGCGUGAGUGACGGGAAUGGGUAAAGAAGCACCGGCUAACUACG
rnacentral:rRNA from 1 species